UCCGCAAACUACGGGGUACUGCUUUUUUCAUUUAUAACGUCUCGCGAGCUGCUACUCGGACCAGCAGAAGGAUCCUGACAAUAGGCCAAGGGAGCUUGGAUUGCGGGAAAAGGGAUUAGAACUUGAUUGAUUGAUUGAAAGGAGAAAUGAAUGCCUUCUAGACCUAAAGCUACCAAGGGGAUAGAAACCCCCAGCUAGCAAUGAUGAUACUGAAUACAAACCUACCUUUGGGGCACCGAGCGCCACGAUUGAUGAUACCUUGAUACGAAUGAUUGAAUAUCUGAAAAAAAAAAAAAAAAAACGAGAUGAAUGGCUGGACAGAACGGACACAACGAUGGAAAGGGCCAUAACAAAAACUGAAUGAAAACUCCGAUUCUCCGUCCCCAAGGGAUCGAGAGGAUGUCACAACAAGGGGACGAUGAUGAGAUGAAUCAACUGACUACGCGAGCCACUGCCACAACUCCUCCAUCUACUGAAGAAUAACCCUGCAAGAACUAACGAAGAAUCUCCUGCAAGAACCCUUCUAAUGCCUACAAGAAUCACCAACAGAACGGCCAUGAGAGCCGCAAAGAUACCCAUGAUGAGAUUGGCCAUCAAGAAUACCACCACCACCGUUGAUGAACGAACCAAACGUCGAUACUACUACCACGAAUUGAAGCUUCACGAAUGCCGAAAAGGUGAAGGAUAGAAGGAUAGAAGUAUAGAAUGAUACGAAGAAUAGAUUGAUUCAUAUGAUGAAUAAUGAUGGAUUUGAGCACUAAUUGUGGUAAUGUAAUUUCAUGUAUCAGGCCUAAUUCUAAUGAGGGAUCUAGGCGUUACUUUGUGUGUAAUUGAUUAUGAUUAUUGCGGAUUUGAGCGAUUUGAGAUUGAGAUUGAGAUUUGAUAGUCUCAGGGGAGGAGCCUAAACUUCCUAGUAUGGACUGGCACCCCGCACGCUGUUUAUACACUUAAAACGUUCCAACAGUUCCUGUUGGGUCCCUCUUAGAUACCUCGUUCUUCUUUAUUCUCCUUGGCAGACGCCAUUCGGGGCCCGGGUAAGGGGCGAUCUGGUUCAGUCGAAUCGGUGUCAGAGUUGGGAUCGUACACUGAGCAUGUGCUUGUGCUGGAGUUCGUUUCGCUCGUAGUGGGCGGGGUGUUACCGCGAGGAAAAAAAAAAAAAAAAAAAAAAUUAAAAAAAAUUAUAAUUAGAUAAAAAAGGGAAAAUGAAGUGAGAAAAGAAAAACAAUUGAAAGAAAAGAAUAAAUAAAUAGCUGGGCCAAACGAGAGCAAAACUUCGUCCAGGAAGAGAUAGAUAUCUAUAUACAAUACACAUGAGCCCUCCAGAUUGUUUCAAUCAUUAUCGAAAAUCCAUUCACUAUUACCACCAACCAAAUAAUAGUGUAUAAAAAAA
rnacentral:sRNA from 1 species